rnacentral:rRNA from 1 species
UACGUAGGGCGCAAGCGUUGUCCGGAAUUAUUGGGCGUAAAGAGCUCGUAGGCGGUUUGUCGCGUCUGCUGUGAAAACCUAAGGCUCAACCUUGGGCUUGCAGUGGGUACGGGCAGACUAGAGUGCGGUAGGGGGUGACUGGAAUUCCUGGUGUAGCGGUGGAAUGCGCAGAUAUCAGGAGGAACACCGAUGGCGAAGGCAGGUCA